rnacentral:rRNA from 1 species
UACGGAGGGUGCGAGCGUUGUCCGGAAUCACUGGGCGUAAAGGGCGCGUAGGUGGCGCGGGCAGUCAACGGUGAAAGUUCGGGGCUCAACCUUGAAUCGGCCGUCGAUACUCCCGGGCUUGAGCACUGUAGAGGCUAAUGGAAUUCCGGGUGUAGCGGUGGAAUGCGUAGAGAUCCGGAAGAACACCGGUGGCGAAGGCGGUUAGCUGGGCAGUUGCUGGACACUGAGGCGCGACAGCGUGGGGAGCAAACAGGG